AAUUAAUCAUAUAAUGUUUGGAACUCUUAUUUGCGCAUUUCUUAUUUGCCCAUAAGUUAAGGGCAAAAGUAGUAUUUUAAUUUUUUUUAACAGUGGUAGAUAUUUAACUCAUGUUUAAUCCAAAUUAUCUUAAUAGGUGGUAACGACAAAGGUAUUUUGAAAUAACGGAGGAACAAAGAGGAAUAUAUUGGAAAGAAAAAAAAAUAGAAGUAAAUAAAAUAUUUUGAAGGAUUGAGGGUAUACGGGCAAUUAUCCCUUAGUAACAGAGUAGAAAUUGGAGUAUCUAAUACUUAUUUGAGGGCAUUUUAGGUAUUCAGAGAGAAUAAUUAUCCAAAAAUAAAAAGAAUAAGAUCAAAGACAAAGUUCUCAUCACAAAAAGUAAUGAUAUAAUAGUAAAUUAGUACUCUCUCCCCCACAUUUCCCCUACCCUUUUAUCCCCCUUUCCUUGUACCCAACCCCACACUGCUUUGGAACAUAUGCUAAUGGAGUAAAUGCUCCUCCUUUUUCCUUUUCUCCUUCUUCUUCUUGCACCUUAGAAAAAGCCAAAGCUUCUCCGACAACUCCCCCAAAAAAGGAAAGGGGAAAAAAGACUCUAAAAGACCCAAAAAGGAGCCAUUUUUGGGGUUAAAUUUUGGUGGAACUGAGGAGCAGUGGAGUUGAUCUUUUGGUGAAGCCAUGGCAUUGCCCAUUUCUCCUCCCCUCUUUGCUUGGUUCCUGCUCAUGCUCUUCCUCCCAAUCUCUUCUUCUCAUGUCUCUUUUCAGAUCCAGAGGACACCCAUUCCAGGUUUUUUUUUUCUCCCCC
rnacentral:lncRNA from 1 species